rnacentral:rRNA from 1 species
AUGAACGCUAGCUACAGGCUUAACACAUGCAAGUCGAGGGGCAGCAUGAACUUAGCUUGCUAAGUUUGAUGGCGACCGGCGCACGGGUGAGUAACACGUAUCCAACCUGCCGAUGACUCGGGGAUAGCCUUUCGAAAGAAAGAUUAAUACUCGAUGGCAUAGUUCUUCCGCAUGGUAGAGCUAUUAAAGAAUUUCGGUCAUCGAUGGGGAUGCGUUCCAUUAGGUUGUUGGCGGGGUAACGGCCCACCAAGCCUUCGAUGGAUAGGGGUUCUGAGAGGAAGGUCCCCCACAUUGGAACUGAGACACGGUCCAAACUCCUACGGGAGGCAGCAGUGAGGAAUAUUGGUCAAUGGACGAGAAUCUGAACCAGCCAAGUAGCGUGAAGGAUGACUGCCCUAUGGGUUGUAAACUUCUUUUAUACGGGAAUAAAGUGAGGCACGUGUGCCUUUUUGUAUGUACCGUAUGAAUAAGGAUCGGCUAACUCCGUGCCAGCAGCCGCGGUAAUACGGAGGAUCCGAGCGUUAUCCGGAUUUAUUGGGUUUAAAGGGAGCGUAGGCGGACGCUUAAGUCAGUUGUGAAAGUUUGCGGCUCAACCGUAAAAUUGCAGUUGAUACUGGGUGUCUUGAGUACAGUAGAGGCAGGCGGAAUUCGUGGUGUAGCGGUGAAAUGCUUAGAUAUCACGAAGAACUCCGAUUGCGAAGGCAGCCUGCUGGACUGUAACUGACGCUGAUGCUCGAAAGUGUGGGUAUCAAACAGGAUUAGAUACCCUGGUAGUCCACACAGUAAACGAUGAAUACUCGCUGUUUGCGAUAUACAGUAAGCGGCCAAGCGAAAGCGUUAAGUAUUCCACCUGGGGAGUACGCCGGCAACGGUGAAACUCAAAGGAAUUGACGGGGGCCCGCACAAGCGGAGGAACAUGUGGUUUAAUUCGAUGAUACGCGAGGAACCUUACCCGGGCUUGAAUUGCAACUGAAUGAUGUGGAGACAUGUCAGCCGCAAGGCAGUUGUGAAGGUGCUGCAUGGUUGUCGUCAGCUCGUGUCGUGAGAUGUUGGGUUAAGUCCCGCAACGAGCGCAACCCUUAUCCUUUGUUGCCAGCGGUCCGGCCGGGAACUCAAAGGAGACUGCCAGUGAUAAACUGGAGGAAGGUGGGGAUGACGUCAAAUCAGCACGGCCCUUACGUCCGGGGCUACACACGUGUUACAAUGGGGGGUACAGAAGGCAGCUACACGGCGACGUGAUGCUAAUCCCGAAAGCCUCUCUCAGUUCGGAUUGGAGUCUGCAACCCGACUCCAUGAAGCUGGAUUCGCUAGUAAUCGCGCAUCAGCCACGGCGCGGUGAAUACGUUCCCGGGCCUUGUACACACCGCCCGUCAAGCCAUGAAAGCCGGGGGUACCUGAAGUGCGUAACCGCAAGGAGCGCCCUAGGGUAAAACUGGUGAUUGGGGCU